UUAUUAAAGGGUUAAGGUUAGGGUUAUUAAAGGGUUAAGGUUAGGGUUAUUAAAGGGUUAAGGUUAGGGUUAUUAAAGGGUUAAGGUUAGGGUUAUUAAAGGGUUAAGGUUAGGGUUAUUAAAGGGUUAAGGUUAGGGUUAUUAAAGGGUUAAGGUUAGGGUUAUUAAGGGUUAAGGUUAGGGUUAUUAAAGGGUUAAGGUUAGGGUUAUUAAAGGGUUAAGGUUAGGGUUAUUAAAGGGUUAAGGUUAGGGGUAUUAAAGGGUUAAGGUUAGGGUUAUUAAAGGGUUAAGGUUAUUAAAGGGUUAAGGUUAGGGUUAUUAAAGGGUUAAGGUUAUUAAAGGGUUAAGGUUAGGGGUAUUAAAGGGUUAAGGUUAUUAAAGGGUUAAGGUUAUUAAAGGGUUAAGGUUAGGGUUAUUAAAGGGUUAAGGUUAGGGGUAUUAAAGGGUUAAGGUUAGGGUUAUUAAAGGGUUAAGGUUAGGGUUAUUAAAGGGUUAAGGUUAGGGUUAUUAAGGUUAGGGUUAUUAAAGGGUUAAGGUUAGGGUUAUUAAAGGGUUAAGGAUAUUAAGGGUUAGGUUAGGGUUAUUAAAGGGUUAAGGUUAG
rnacentral:lncRNA from 1 species